AGUUUUACUUUCGGUUUCUUUAAACGUUCACCCUCCUGUCUUGUGUCUACUGCCAGAUUUAUUGCGAUGCAUUUGUGACCACUAAACAAGACUAUACUGUAGUAUGGAUCACAGAAAAGAGUCAACUUCAAACGAGAAGUCUCAGGAAAGCACUUUAGUGGAAUCAUUCCUCCCUUACCAUUAUGAUGAGCUUUCAAAAGCCAGUGAAACGCUCUCUCAAAAGUUGAACUAUAAUUUGAAGAAAAGGUUAGGUUUGACUGCUUCCAUGAAGGAAAACACUAAUCUUACAAAAAAUGUGUGGGAAGGUGUAGAUGGCACAAUGUCUCAUGUAACGAAAAAGUUCCCCAUGCCUGCUGUGGAGACAGAAGGUGAAAGCACAAGUUCUGGAAGCCCUGAGGACCCUCAGGCGGCAACAUCUAAUGGUCUUAAUGCAACAGAGGAUGAUGCUGGAACGUCAAGUAGUGUAGUUAAUGCUCAUGAUAAUCCAAUUAUAGUUUCUGACUCGGACGAAGAGGUCUUGGAGCUGAGUGAGGAUUCUGAUUGUCAAAUUGUGACAACGCCAUCUGAUACAUCCUUGAAACCUGUGACAUUCACAAGCUCAAAAAGUGAUCAAGAAAAAGAGUGCUCUCCCUCGGAGGUUUUAAAAAGAAAUGGCAAUGAUACUGUACCUCAGACCAUUUGUAUUAUUGAAUCACCUCUUUCAACUGGAAAGUGAAACUUUUUCGUAAAUGAAAUUAUUAAGACAUAGGCAGGAUGUAAUAUCUUAUUGUGUUUUUACAUCAUGCCAAAUCACAUGCAACUGUAUAGACAAAGCAAUGACAAGAAUUUUGUUUCAUAUGGGAGAGGCUAUAGUCAAUUGAAAUUCUUGUGUGAACAUCCUGAAAACUGUCUUCAACACAAGGACAAGAGCCAACGCAACAUGAUUUUAGAUAUAUAUAUGAAAAACAUUUUGAUAAUGUGUAUAUAUGUAAUUGAAUACUUUGAGUACAAAAGAUAAGUUCAAAGAUCUUUUUUGAAAUGUGGUUUUGAAGUGAAGAAAGAAGUACUAGAUGACUUUUACUUUUAUGUUAGGUUAAGAUUAGAAAUACAAUGUAGCAUUAUUAUUCACCCUAAAUAACAUCCCCUAA